CUACGGGCGGCUCCAGUGGGGAAUAUUGCACAAUGGGCGCAAGCCUGAUGCAGCCAUGCCGCGUGUAUGGAGAAGGCCUUCGGGUUGUAAAGUACUUUCAGCGGGGAGGAAGGGAGUAAAGUUAAUACCUUUGCUCAUUGACGUUACCCGCAGAAGAAGCACCGGCUAACUCCGUGCCAGCAGCCGCGGUAAUACGGAGGGUGCAAGCGUUAAUCGGAAUUACUGGGCGUAAAGCGCACGCAGGCGGUUUGUUAAGUCAGAUGUGAAAUCCCCGGGCUCAACCUGGGAACUGCAUCUGAUACUGGCAAGCUUGAGUCUCGUAGAGGGGGGUAGAAUUCCAGGUGUAGCGGUGAAAUGCGUAGAGAUCUGGAGGAAUACCGGUAGCGAAGGCGGCCCCCUGGACGAAGACUGACGCUCAGGUGCGAAAGCGUGGGGAGCAAACAGGAUUAGAUACCCCCGUAGUC
rnacentral:rRNA from 1 species